ensembl:Y_RNA Y_RNA Y RNA
GGCUGGUCCAAGUGCAGUAAUGUUUACAACUAAUUGAUCACAACCAGUUACAGAUUUCUUUGUUCCUUCUCCACUCCCACUGCUUCACUUGACUAGACCUAA